UACAGAGGUCUCAAGCGUUGUUCGGAUUCAUUGGGCGUAAAGGGUGCGUAGGCGGCGCGGUAAGUCGGGUGUGAAAUCUUGGAGCUUAACUCCGAAACUGCAUUCGAUACUGCCGUGCUUGAGGACUGGAGAGGAGGCUGGAAUUUACGGUGUAGCGGUGAAAUGCGUAGAUAUCGUAAGGAAGACCAGUGGCGAAGGCGGGUCUCUGGACAGUUCCUGACGCUGAGGCACGAAGGUCAGGGGAGCAAACGGG
rnacentral:rRNA from 1 species